AGUGCAAUUGCUGGGUUGUAUGGUAGUUGCAUGUUUAGUUUUUAAAGCAAGUGUUUAAAUAUUUUGUAGAAUGACUGUACCAUUUUACAUUCCCAUCAGCAAU
rnacentral:pre_miRNA from 1 species